GAUGAACGCUGGCGGCGUGCCUAAUACAUGCAAGUCGAGCGAAUGGAUUAAGAGCUUGCUCUUAUGAAGUUAGCGGCGGACGGGUGAGUAACACGUGGGUAACCUGCCCAUAAGACUGGGAUAACUCCGGGAAACCGGGGCUAAUACCGGAUAACAUUUUGAACCGCAUGGUUCGAAAUUGAAAGGCGGCUUCGGCUGUCACUUAUGGAUGGACACGCGUCGCAUUAGCUAGUUGGUGAGGUAACGGCUCACCAAGGCAACGAUGCGUAGCCGACCUGAGAGGGUGAUCGGCCACACUGGGACUGAGACACGGCCCAGACUCCUACGGGAGGCAGCAGUAGGGAAUCUUCCGCAAUGGACGAAAGUCUGACGGAGCAACGCCGCGUGAGUGAUGAAGGCUUUCGGGUCGUAAAACUCUGUUGUUAGGGAAGAACAAGUGCUAGCUGAAUAAGCUGGCACCUUGACGGUACCUAACCAGAAAGCCACGGCUAACUACGUGCCAGCAGCCGCCGCGG
rnacentral:rRNA from 1 species